rnacentral:tRNA from 1 species
GGGGAUUUAGCUCAGUGGUAGAGCGCUUGCCUAGCAAGCACAAGGCCCUGGGUUCGGUCCACAGCUCCCCCC